ensembl:lncRNA
UGUGUCCAUCUGCUCAUCCAAUCAGAAUUUAGUGUUGGAACUAUCCAGAUUAUAUGUUUUUUUUUUUCCUCUCUGUGUCUUAAACUUGGAUAUACUGUCCCCAUAAUGUUCCCCUCACUCUCCCCUACAUUAUUUUGCAUUUACAUUAUAUUAUACUCUAUUGCAGAUUCACCAUCUGAUGCAAACACUCCACUAAUGAGGCUGAUUCUGUGCUGAUGAAAGUGGCAAACAAGGACGGCCGUGUGGAUUUGCCCAAUAGUGCUUCGGUCAAUGUCUUCUGCCUGUUCGUGCUGAUUCAGCCGUUGUGUUUGAUUAUUGGUGGAUACACAGGGAUGGCCACAUAUUUGAUUUCUGCAUACAUAUCCUACAACGCCCUGCCCUGGAAAAAGCCGUCAGCUGAUCAGCAGGAGGAUACGGAGAAAAAAAAGAAGAAAAAGAAGACAAAGACUAAUUAAGACACUCUUAAUUGAGACUUCAAACAACAGCUUUGCGUAGCUGUAAAUUUCAACCUUUGGUCUAAAGACAUUUGGAAAGCAGAAUCUCUGUUUACUUAAGGAGAAACAGGAAGAAGGUAUCAUGAUGAACAGUCGUGAGUGCUGGUUCCAGUUUGUGUCUUGUUGAUCGACAGCAGUGGAUCGAUGGACUGGCUGCCUCUUUAAAUGCCACUUUCACAAUGUAGUUACACGCCAGCCUGUAAAGGCUCGCUCCUAACAAAAAGUGGUUUUAAUUUGGAACAAACUGAUGACUUUGAUUUCUGUUCAAACUGCAAAAAAAUGUUUCCAUAUCUGACUUUAGCUACUCGUAUAUCAUGUAUAUAAUUCAAGGUUGAUCAUGAACAGUUUGCUCCCUGUAUAAUUCAUGCUUUGGUGCACAUCAUUUAAAAUCUGUUUGUUUUUCUUCUCUAUGAAUCUAUGAAUGUGCCAGAAUGAACUAGAAUUAUAUGCUAAAUUAAAAAGACAGAUUGGAUUUUUAGAUGCACAUAAAAGUUUAAUAUACAUAAAAUACAUAAUAUGCAUAAUAUGUUUAAUAUAUUUUAAUACAUAAUAUUUCAACUUUUAAGUUUCACCUGUGUAUGUUGUACUUUAUUAUUAAUAUAAUAAAAAAAUAAAAAAAUGGAAAAGCACAAGCAGUUUCCGCAAAAACCAGUUCUGGAAUUGCGUAAUUAUAACUUCCACUUAUAUUUGUAAUUCCAUAACUAUUUUGUGCCAACUGCUUACUACUUUAAACUUUUUUCAUAUUUUUAUUAUAUAAUAGAAAUGCAUUAUAUCAUACAUACAUAUGUAAUUUAAAACAUUUAAUAAGGUUUUUUUAUUAUUUCCUAUUUUAUUAUACUUUAAAAUAAAAUAAAAUAAAAUAAAAUAAUAAGAAAUGCACUGAAAAUUUCUCUUCAUUUUCCCAAAUGGAAUAAAUAAAUCUGGUAAUGCUCCAGCAUAUGACAUGUUGCCAUCCAUCUCUAUUGUUUGCAUCACAUGACCUGAAAUUAAAGGUAACCAUAGGUAAACUGCACAUAUGUGUGAUGCGGGUUGGUGUAAGUGUUGUGAAGGUAUAGUUUUUUUUUUAUCUUAUAUUGUUUUUAUCCAAAUCUCUCCUCCACUCUGCUCUCCUCUAUCGCCGUUUGUCUCUCUCUAACACUUUUUCACACUUUUACACAUUUUUUUUUUUUGUACUCUCAGCCUGCAGCUUUGUUUUCAGUAGAGAAGUCUCUUGCAAACUGUGUAAAAGCGGGUCAUCACAGUCUAGUGCAGAGCAGAGACAACGGUCCCCCUGCGGUGAGCUCAAUGAGCCCUGGCCUCUCCGCACCCAGCGAUCACAGUGCAGCCACCUCUGACAAUCUCUCAUUAUCACCCCUCGGCAGACUCCGCAGGAAGCAGCGGUGCCCCUGAGAGCACGGGGAGUGAAGACCACCUCAGCACCGCAGCUCGAAGGGUUCAGAACCGUGGCCAAUGGGUGGGCCGCCAAAAAAUGGCAGAUGUGUCUCAGCAAGAUACACAGAGAUGAAUGAAAGGCUUGUGCUAAUGUCUGACUGCAUGUGUCAUGUCUCCUCCGGAGCAUAUUAAGCAUUUUCUGGCAAGCCUAAUAGUCGUAGACUAAAGUCACACCAUUUAAGCAUAUAAUGGCUUAAUAGACUAGUUUUCCACCUUAUUUAGUUACCCAUAUGUCAUUCCAAACUCAUUUCUUUAAUUUAUAAAUCUCAAAAUGAUUGACUCUUUUCCACAUAAUGAAUGUGAAUGGAGACUGUGCCUGCCAAGCUCUAACAUGGAAUACUUUUAGGACAUUUUACAGGUGAUUUUAUUGUCGUGACUCAUGUCCCAAACCUUCAGAAGCUGAACAAUAUCUUUGUGUGGCGAAUUGAAAGAUUUAAAGUGUCAUUCACUGAAAAUUUUGCCCUCUGCAUUGUUUCAAAAAUGGCAUCAUGUGGCAAUAUUUUUAAUAGUUUUAGUCAAUGACCACUUAAAUUUCGGUCUGUUUCAGUGUUAAUCUCAUCAACAAGUUCCUCUGGGUUACACCGUGGAAAGCAAGUCAUAUGGGUUUGGACAGAAGAUAUUACAUUGAGAAAGGGAGGGUGUGAUGGAAGAUGUUCGUGAACGGUCUAAAAGAAUCCAUAUCGCCUCAGUCACACGUUGAUGCCACUCGUCCAUCAUCAUCCUACAGUCCUCCCGAGGAAAGGAAGACAAGCACAGCCUCAGCAGUUAAUGAUGGCGAUU